rnacentral:rRNA from 1 species
GAGUUUGAUCGUGGCUCAGGAUGAACGCUGGCGGCGUGCCUAAUACAUGCAAGUCGAGCGAACGGACGAGAAGCUUGCUUCUCUGAUGUUAGCGGCGGACGGGUGAGUAACACGUGGAUAACCUACCUAUAAGACUGGGAUAACUUCGGGAAACCGGAGCUAAUACCGGAUAAUAUUUUGAACCGCAUGGUUCAAAAGUAAAAGACGGUCUUGCUGUCACUUAUAGAUGGAUCCGCGCUGCAUUAGCUAGUUGGUAAGGUAACGGCUUACCAAGGCAACGAUGCAUAGCCGACCUGAGAGGGUGAUCGGCCACACUGGAACUGAGACACGGUCCAGACUCCUACGGGAGGCAGCAGUAGGGAAUCUUCCGCAAUGGGCGAAAGCCUGACGGAGCAACGCCGCGUGAGUGAUGAAGGUCUUCGGAUCGUAAAACUCUGUUAUUAGGGAAGAACAUAUGUGUAAGUAACUGUGCACAUCUUGACGGUACCUAAUCAG